rnacentral:rRNA from 1 species
UAAGGAAUAUUGGACAAUGGUGGCAACACUGAUCCAGCCAUGCCGCGUGAAGGAUGAAGGCCCUAUGGGUUGUAAACUUCUUUUGUACGGGAAAAAAAUGCUCUUCGUGAAAGAGUACUGAUGGUACCGUAAGAAUAAGGAUCGGCUAACUCCGUGCCAGCAGCCGCGGUAAUACGGAGGAUCCAAGCGUUAUCCGGAUUCAUUGGGUUUAAAGGGUGCGUAGGCGGAAUUGUAAGUCAGUGGUGAAAGCCCUCAGCUUAACUGAGGAACUGCCAUUGAUACUGCAAAUCUUGAGUACAUUUGAUGUGGGCGGAAUGUGUCAUGUAGCGGUGAAAUGCUUAGAUAUGACACAGAACACCGAUUGCGAAGGCAGCUCACAAAACUGUAACUGACGCUGAGGCACGAAAGCGUGGGUAUCAAACAGGAUUAGAUACCCCCGUAGUCC